rnacentral:piRNA from 1 species
UCAGCCUCGGAGUCCAGCAUCC